rnacentral:lncRNA from 1 species
CACUGGUUGUGAGCCAGAUCAAAACCCUGUCCUGGGGAGACAAUUGGAUUUUCUAUGCAGGUACAGUCACAUUUAUGUCUUUUAAUAAUAGAGUUCAUCCAUCAUACAAGAUUGAUGAUCCCUGCAGAAGUUAAAAGUCUAGGAAUAAGAAAUUUGCACUUUAAAGAAGUCUUUCCUUUGUCUUACGGCUUCCAGAAUUCCUGAUGAGGAGUCUGCUAUCAAUCUUAUCUUGUGGCUUUGAAGUGAUAAUGUCAUUCUCACCUGUAAUCCCAGCACUUUGGGAGGCUGAGGCC